rnacentral:tRNA from 1 species
GGAGAAAUACCCAAGUGGUGAAGGGGACGGUUUGCUAAACCGUUAGCAGGGGCAACUCUGGCGAGGGUUCAAAUCCCUCUUUCUCCGCCA